rnacentral:misc_RNA from 1 species
GACAAUAGAGCAUGGAGAGUUUGUCCGGGUACGAACAGUCCACCUGAAUGGGAAGCCUCGAGUACUUACAUUGAAGCAGGAUUUACACUACUGGCCAACAUGGGAGUUGAGGUUUGAUCUGGAAACAGCUAUGUGGCGACGCAAAACAAUUAAAGCUUUGGACUCAGGUGUUUUGUGAAUGACUUGGCUGAUUAAGAUUUACCUUGGGAGUGCAUAAUUGUAGAGCAUGUUGGAAGUUCACCGGGUUUGUUAGUCAACUUAUUGGAGUUCAGAGUCUUCAUACAUCAAUAUAUGCAAAAUCAUAUAGAGCAGGCAUCUGACUUCAUUGCCUAUUUGUUGUAAAUUACUAUUUAUCUGAUGAAAUAAUAAGUCGGGAGUAUUUUAGACAUGAGUUAUAGGUUCUAGAGCUAUAAAAGAUGAUUGUAUAUCUGAAGAUGUAAAGGAUGAAUUAGGGGUUACUUUUAGCCACAAGAUUUGUGGUGAUGUCCCCUUUUAGCCUAUAGGAUUAAAGCAUUUUUCUUCUGAAUUUAUUGUGU